UUUCCGUAGGUGAACCCGCGGAAGGAUCAUUAUUGUAUAGCCGAGGUGCGAGGGCUGUCGCUGACCCGAAAGGUCGUGCACGCCCGAGUGCCCUCACACACAUCCAUCUCACCCCUAUGUGCACCACCGCGUGGGUCCCCCUUUGGCUUGUUCGGAGGGGGGCUUACGUUUUCACACAAACUUUGUAUGCAGUGUAGAAUGUAUUUUUUGUUUUUGCGAUCACGCAAUCAAUACAACUUUCAACAACGGAUCUCUUGGCUCUC
rnacentral:misc_RNA from 1 species